rnacentral:lncRNA from 1 species
AAAAAUAGAAACAGGCCACCACAGAACAGGCUCUACCUCCCAGCCCCAAGCAAGGGACACACGCACUUGCCACCAGUAACCCUUGUUGCUUACUGGCCAUCAGGUAACUUAUUCCUGGAAUUCCAAGAGGAGCUUGAACAAGUCUAUAAAGUCUACUGUGCCAACUAUGACCAGGCCCUGCUGCUGGUCAAGGCAUACCAGAAGGAGCCGGAACUCCAGAAGGAGAUCCAGGGCAUCAUCGAAGCUGCAGUGUGAGUAGCAUGUCUGGGGACAGUUCAAGUCUUGAUCCUGCUCGGGCCUGCUCAGGCUGCUUCAGGCCUGUGUCAGCAGCCAAGCCUCUCUCUCAGUCAGUUCUGUCUCUUUCUUGAAGGUGCGUCCCCUUAUGUCGUUCCUCAUCCUUUGACUCUUAGUACAUGCUUCCACCAGGUGGUCAUGCCAGUUCAUUUGACCCAUGUCGGUUUGUUUUUAGUCUCGCGAUAUUAUAGGUGGGACUUUUUUU